rnacentral:misc_RNA from 1 species
GAUGAAGAACGUAGCGGAAUGCGAUAAGUAGUGUGAAUUGCAGAAUUCAGUGAAUCAUCGAAUCUUUGAACGCACAUUGCGCCCCUUGGUAUUCCAUGGGGCAUGCCUGUUCGAGCGUCAUUUGUACCUUCAAGCUCUGCUUGGUGUUGGGUGUUUGUCUCGCCUCUGCGUGUAGACUCGCCUCAAAACAAUUGGCAGCCGGCGUAUUGAUUUCGGAGCGCAGUACAUCUCGCGCUUUGCACUCAUAACGACGACGUCCAAAAGUACAUUUUUACACUCUUGACCUCGGAUCAGGUAGGGAUACCCGCUGAACUUAAGCAUAUCAAUAAGCGGAGGA